GUGGGUGAUGCUCAGUCAGUACAGCAUGAGACUCUUGAUCUCAGGGUCAUGAGUUCAAGCCCCAUUUCGAGCA